rnacentral:tRNA from 1 species
GGGGUUGUGGCUCAGUGGUAGAGCACUCGCCUAGCACGCAAGUGUGAGGCACUGGGUUCAAUCCUCAGUACCA